CAUGUGCAGUUUUAGUAUGCGUGGGUUGUGUAAGUUUCCUGUAAUGAGAUGAGGUUUAGCAGAUCUACACAACAUCAACAUUAAGGGGUUCUUAUUACUUUGGUUGAUUUGUAGAGCCAUUGACAUACAGUAAAUAUGCAAUCAUUUUCAUUAAGACUAGAUUUCUUCUAGAAGUGUGGAAAUAUUUGAGCAUAAACUACUAAGGAUAUAUCAGAGAACUUGAUGCAGGUUAAAUUGCAACAGGUCAGAAAUGCAGGAAGAUCUCAUCGAUAGAAUCUCUCAGUAACGCACCUAUUUUGCUGAUCUGCCAACGUACACUAUCGCUUUCAUCGCCUUAUUUUCAGAUGACCUCGAAACUGAAGCUCUGCGAACAUCGCGGCUGUCAUCAUAAACGCAAAGUGAAAUGCGACCCUGACAGAAGAUCCAUCGGGUAAACAAAGGCAAUUGAAAACACUGUAGAUUGCCUGAAAUGGGUCUUUGUACUCAAAGGCUAAAAACAAGGCCAACAACAGGCCAGAAAGAACACAGGAAAUGCAUUGUUUAAUUUCAAAACGUUAAUAUAUUUUCUAUUUUAUAGUGAACAUAUGCAUCAGAUUUGACACCCUUGUCACCCUUUUUUUUUUGCAGCAACAACAGAGGAGGUUUUGUUUCUCAGAGUUGGGGUGAUGCCUAUAAUGAUGCCUCUCAAAAUAAAUAUUACUUUAUAAAAUAAUAAAACUUCAAAUAAAUAUUUUUACACUAAACAAUGUGUUGAAAUUAGAAAAUAAAGUUUUUCUUAGGGUCACUGUACAAUUUACAAGUAUAGUUGUAGGGAUAAUUCAUGUAAGGUUCCUCUUCUAUAAGGCAAAAUAUCAAAAGAGUGAUUGACAUACAUUCGAAACGAAUGUACAACACUAUACAAGUUUUGUAUAUGCAUCAUAUAUAUGGAUCUGUCAAGGUGCCUCUGGUUUGGCACAAUGUGUUUCACAGUUGAAAUAUUAUAUGUACAAAAAUAAAAUCUCUCAGAAAAAGAGCUCAUUUGCUAAUUUACAUACUUUGCAGAUACUAUUCACAAACAGUUAGUUAGGAGAGUCUGUCACCUUUAUCAGUCAUAUUACUGAAUGUCAAUAAGGCUAACAUUCUGGACUUCAGUUUAAAAUGAAAAGGAAAGGGAAGGUUGUUGAGACAAACGUUAUUCCCCCUUAAAGAGUGAGAGAGAGAGAGAGAGAGA